rnacentral:rRNA from 1 species
GAUGAACGCUGACAGAAUGCUUAACACAUGCAAGUCAACUUGAACUUCGGUUUGGGUGGCGGACGGGUGAGUAACGCGUAAAGAACUUGCCUCACAGAUAGGGACAACAUUUGGAAACGAAUGCUAAUACCUGAUAGUAUGAUUUUAGGGCAUCCUAGGAUUAUGAAAGCUAUAUGCGCUGUGAGAGAGCUUUGCGUCCCAUUAGCUAGUUGGAGAGGUAACGGCUCACCAAGGCGAUGAUGGGUAGCCGGCCUGGGAGGGUGAUCGGCCACAAGGGGACGGAGACACGGCCCUUACUCCUACGGGAGGCAGCAGUGGGGAAUAUUGGACAAUGGACCAAGAGUCUGAUCCAGCAAUUCUGUGUGCACGAUGAAGUUUUUCGGAAUGUAAAGUGCUUUCAGUUGGGAAGAAAAAAAUGACGGUACCAACAGAAGAAGUGACGGCUAAAUACGUG